rnacentral:lncRNA from 1 species
AUUUGCGUGGCUUACAUCGUUGAAUGGUCUGUAUUCUUUUCACCAUCACCAUUGUUUUAUCCAUUUCUUUUCGAACUUGCCUGGCUUACAUCAUUGAACGGGUUGUUGGUGGAUAUGUACUAAUGAAGAAACAAAAGUAACACAAUACACAUGAACCGAUAACAAACUUACACAGGACCUAACAACAAGAACAGGCAUGAACUAACAACGAUAACAAAUUUGCAGGCGGACUGACAACAAGAACACAGAUGAACUUAAAACAAAAAUGUAAAUGGUGACCAACUCAGAGGCAUACUGUAGCACGCAGGAGCGGCAACCAAUUAGUCAACUCAUCAAGGCCACCAAUACGCAGGAGAGCAUGGUGUGGGAAACAAUAAUGGGAGGCUACGUGUGGUCGUGGAUGCAUUGUGGGGGUUGAGCGACAACUGUGGUUGAUGGCAAGCUGGAACGACAAGAACGGGCAGCUUGAGAACAAGUGGGCGGUGCGCGACAUCUCACUUUAGAUGCGCCUGUUGGACUGAUUUCCUUCUCCCAUCUGGACGUAUCAAUUGCAGAACUUUCUAUUAGAAACAUUAAAGAUACAAAAUAGUCGUGUGCUCAAACUUGAAGUAAGAUAUGAUUUCAUGUCCUUAUCCAUUAAUAAAAUCAUACUAUGUACAUUUGUAGAAUACUUGCUCUCAGUACUAGUCAUUCUACUUAGUUAUCCAAAACAGUUGUGAAUGCUACAUCCAUUUUUCUCAAUAAAAUGUAACAUAUAAGUUUGAUACAGACAGAAAUAUGCACCAAAAGAUAUACCCAAAAUUCAAGUUCACAACAUCGGAAGAAACAAAUAAUUUGAUGCCAACCUAAGUGAGCACUGAAAGAUGCAAAGAAGAGGCUUUUUUGAGACAUUGACUUUGGUACAUGUUUUUCUCUACAAAUUGAUAAACCAAGAGCAGUACAGAUGCUCAUUUCUCAUGCUUAACCACAAGCACACGUUUGUUCUAUACGAAGCUGGAAACAUAAAACAGAAAUUGGACUUACAAUGAGGAAGUAGAUGUACUAAAAGUUGAAGCUUUGGAUCCUCAUGACGAACUGGACCAUACUGGAGUUUUGAAUGGUGGUGAAGCUUCACAUCCUUCAUCGUCACUCCUGCCAUGAGCCAAAAUCACAAACUUCAAAAUUACGAACUUCGUCUACUUUAUUUUUUCUUUCAAAAUUUUGCUUGUUUUCUAAACGUCCAACAAGAAUAAUGUAGAUCCUCCAAUUUCACCCUUUUUGUAACUGCUACAUCUGGUUUUGGCUGCAUCCUGAAAAAAUAAAAAUCUAAGAGAUGAGAUACCAGCAUGUGUAAUGAUUCUUGUGCAGAAUAUGGAAACACAAAGAUGAUCAGACUUUUGAUUGGAAAGUAGAUGAGCUGAAAAGCAUCCAAACUACGAACUGAAAACAUUGAAGCUCUGGAACACCCAACAUGGGGCAACAGUGACUGGCGGGGUAGCACUGGAACCCAGCAGUAGAGACAGCCGCUGCAUCGGCCAUGAGCGGCUCGCCACACACAUCUGCUCCAUGCGUUUGUCUCCUUGCUCGCCAUAGUACACUAGCCGCCUACUCACUGUCACCGGUCGGGCCUUGCACAUACCAGUAACCAAUUAACCACGCACUACAACACACCUAGGACUGUAUCUUUGGCACACUUUGAACUGAUGGGUAAUUUUGUGUAUUUUUAUUACUGCACAUGAAGUUAAAGUAACACCAAAACUAGCAACUCUAUUAGCUUCAUCUUUUAGAAGUGCACAAGAAGGUAGAAGAAGAUUGAAACUAGCAACUGUAAUACUUCAUCUUUAGAAGUUAGGGCACAUGAAGGUAAAAGAAGACUGACGAGCUAGUAAAUGUAACAUUGUAAAAAACUAUGAGAUGCAUAACCACACAACAAAAACUAAGAGCAUGCAUGGAAACUCAAACUAUAUGGUUUUGUAGGUAGCAUAGCAUGGUCGCUCAGACCAAAAUCAAACACAGUGGUCAGCUAUAUGAUGUUUCUAUGACCAUGUUGUACCUACGACAGAGCAAUAACAUCACAUCAUGAGAGAAAGGAUGCAACAUGAACAGUUCAGGAGAUAGAACGGGUAGAGAAGAAGUAAAUAUGUUUUGAGGAGAUGAACUGACCAGGAUUUAAAUGAACUCUCACAAGCAGUAUUUUUUAUACUUCUUAUGUAGUAAUACAUGGACUUGCUGUCAAACAAUUCAGGUAGUUGAACUGGCCACACCGCUGCACCAUGUUGCCCAGCUCCUUCUCGACGGCCUGCUUAUUGUGAUCGCCGACGAGCACCCUGGGCUUCACCAUGAACCUGGUUAAAAGAUAUAUGGGACUGGACCCUGUAGAUUUAAAUGAACUCUCACUAGAAGUAAUUUUUGUACUUCCCAUGUAGUACUACAUGGACUUGCUGUAAAAUGCAUGGACCAUGUAAUAAUUUGGAAGUUAAUUAUAUUAUCAUCUCAAGGAGCUCAAGUUGGACUGAAACUCACUUGAUAACUGAAACUACUAGGGCGAGGGGCAGGAUCCAUGGUGCUGCUAGCAAUGAACGGCCUGGGGUGGUGGCAUUGAAUGGCUUGGAAUGGUGGUUGUGAACGUCAAGGGUGCUCCGGCAGCAGAGCCCCA